rnacentral:rRNA from 1 species
CAGCAGCCGCGGUAACACGAAGGGUGCAAGCGUUACUCGGAAUUACUGGGCGUAAAGCGUGCGUAGGUGGUGGUUUAAGUCCGUUGUGAAAGCCCUGGGCUCAACCUGGGAAUUGCAGUGGAUACUGGGUCACUAGAGUGUGGUAGAGGAUAGUGGAAUUUCCGGUGUAGCAGUGAAAUGCGUAGAGAUCGGAAGGAACAUCUGUGGCGAAGGCGACUAUCUGGGCCAACACUGACACUGAGGCACGAAAGCGUGGGGAGCAAACAGGAUUAGAUACCCCCGUAGUCCCUGUCUCUUAUAA